rnacentral:rRNA from 1 species
AGCGAACGCUGGCGGCAGGCCUAACACAUGCAAGUCGAACGGAUCCUUCGGGACUAGUGGCGGACGGGUGAGUAACACGUGGGAACGUGCCCUUUGGUUCGGAACAACUCAGGGAAACUUGAGCUAAUACCGGAUGUGCCCUUCGGGGGAAAGAUUUAUCGCCAUUGGAGCGGCCCGCGUCUGAUUAGCUAGUUGGUGAGGUAAAGGCUCACCAAGGCGACGAUCAGUAGCUGGUCUGAGAGGAUGAUCAGCCACAUUGGGACUGAGACACGGCGCAGACGCCUACGGGAGGCAGCAGUGGGGAAUCUUGCGCAAUGGGCGAAAGCCUGACGCAGCCAUGCCGCGUGAAUGAUGAAGGUCUUAGGAUUGUAAAAUUCUUUCACCGGGGACGAUAAUGACGGUACCCGGAGAAGAAGCCCCGGCUAACUUCGUGCCAGCCGCCGCGGUAAUAC